rnacentral:tRNA from 2 species
CCUGUAGCUCAGAUGGAUAGAGCAGUUGAUUCCUAAUCAAAAGGUCGCAGGUUCGACUCCCGCCAGG